AAUAAACCAAUCAUUCACCUUUUACCUAUAAUGUUUGACUCUUCGUCUUUAUUAAAAAAUAUUUACGAUUAAUAUUUUCGUUUCUACUAGAUGAUAAAUCAUAAAUAAUACUUUACGUGUGACUUUUUUUUAAAAUAUUUUUAAAAUUUUUUUUAAAUAAAACGGAUGGUCAAACGCUAUAUACGGAAAUCGAAAGUUUGUCUCUCU
rnacentral:pre_miRNA from 1 species